ACCGGCUCCGCGGCGGGCCGCUCACCAGAGUGUCUUGCCCGGACCGGUGGCUUCCGGCUCCGCUCUAGGACCUCAGGAGGACCACAGCUUCACUCGGUGGUGCCGGAUGUCUUUCAACUGGCCAGUCAGAGAUCUCGUAUAGCCCAGGCCAUGAGGCAGAGGAUGACACCUCCAUAUCCCAGAAUACUUUGAUCCUUAUUUUUGUCGUUGGAUUUGGUGAUUUUUCUAAGUUGAGAAGAAAUGAGGCCUGAAGACUAUCUCAUCCACCUGUUUGUUCCGGGCUAACUCUCCAGCCCAAGUGGGUCCUGGAGGAAUGCAGAAUUGAGACCAGUGAAGAUAAAUCAAAACAAAUCCUGCCGAAAGUGCAAGAGUCUAAAAGUUCAGAACAAAUCCCACAAACACACACAUAUACACAUAGAGAUAAAUCUUUAAAAACCCAGAAAAGUAUGUGGCUGGUAAUUAUUGAAAACGAAACUCACACGUGAACUCAAUAUACUACCAAAAUCUAUAACUUUAAGCAUCAUAUUAAUGGACUAACAAAAUUGGAUGAUCUUCACUCGUGUUAUAAUUUAGUAAAACUGAG